AAGUUUCAAAUAUAUGUAAAAAAGUAUGAAUAUAUAUGCAGAGCACUUAAAACAUGCUACUAAAUAAAAAACCCUCUGGUUGAGUGAAAAAGAAUACCUGUAGGUUUUUGCAGAAUGUCAAUUAAACCAGUGUAGAAGUACAAAAUUUCUUUCCACAAAUUAAAGUUUAAAACCCUUUAUUUGGUAUAUAUACCGAAACAAAAUAGUACCACAUGCUCAAACUAGAUGCUCCAUACCUUUUAUUUUCGAGGAAUUCCCGGACUAGGUCGAUGAGAUGCUUUUCUUCCAACAUUGUGCUAUGAAUGUUGGCAUGUUUCUGCUUAUCAAGUUCAUACAACAUAUUCUUGAGAAGUUUGUUCAAGUCAGGAUUUUGAGAGACUGAAACAAAAGCCGUGCAAUCAAAUUGCACUCUGAGCUGGUCAUACACAGCUUUGGCAAGUGUUGUCUUGCCUAAUCCUCCAAAACCAACUAUAGAUACUACCCUUUGCUGCUGCGCAGACAUGUCAUCUCCCUUUGUCAACCUCGUGAUUAGUUCUUCUCUUGCCUCAUCAA